rnacentral:tRNA from 1 species
UCGGUUUUGAAUUAGAGAUGUUAAAAAUGAUCAACCAACGUCGACUAUAACCCCUAGCCUUCCAAGCUAACG